rnacentral:rRNA from 1 species
ACACUCCUACGGGAGGCAGCAGUGGGGAAUUUUGGACAAUGGGCGAAAGCCUGAUCCAGCAAUGCCGCGUGAGUGAAGAAGGCCUUCGGGUUGUAAAGCUCUUUUGUCAGGGAAGAAACGGUGAGAGCUAAUAUCUCUUGCUAAUGACGGUACCUGAAGAAUAAGCACCGGCUAACUACGUGCCAGCAGCCGCGGUAAUACGUAGGGUGCAAGCGUUAAUCGGAUUUACUGGGCGUAAAGCGUGCGCAGGCGGUUUUGUAAGUCUGAUGUGAAAUCCCCGGGCUCAACCUGGGAAUUGCAUUGGAGACUGCAAGGCUAGAAUCUGGCAGAGGGGGGUAGAAUUCCACGUGUAGCAGUGAAAUGCGUAGAUAUGUGGAGGAACACCGAUGGCGAAGGCAGCCCCCUGGGUCAAGAUUGACGCUCAUGCACGAAAGCGUGGGGAGCAAACAGGAUUAGAUACCCCGGUAGUCCCA